rnacentral:rRNA from 1 species
UACGGAGGGGGCGAGCGUUAUUCGGAAUUAUUGGGCGUAAAGGGCGCGUAGGCGGCUUGAUGUGUCAAAGGCGAAAUCCCUCGGCUCAACUGAGGAACUGCCUUUGAAACUGUACGGCUUGAGGCCGGGAGGGGGUAGCGGAAUUCCCAAUGUAGCGGUGAAAUGCGUAGAUAUUGGGAGGAACACCAGUGGCGAAGGCGGCUACCUGGACCGGUUCUGACGCUGAGGCGCGAAAGCGUGGGGAGCAAACAGG